CAAUAGCGUAUAUUUAAGUUGCUGCAGUUAAAAAGCUCGUAGUUGGAUUUCGGGUGGGAAUGGCCGGUCCGCCGUUUCGGUGUGCACUUGCUACGCCCACCUUGCUGCCGGGGGCGUGCUCUUGAGUUCACGCUCGGGACACGGAGUCGGCGAGGUUACUUUGAGUAAAUUAGAGUGUUCAAAGCAGGCCUACGCUCUGAAUACAUUAGCAUGGAAUAACACGAUAGGACUCUGGCCUAUCUUGUUGGUCUGUAGGACCGGAGUAAUGAUUAAGAGGGACAGUCGGGGGCAUUCGUAUUUCAUUGUCAGAGGUGAAAUUCUUGGAUUUAUGAAAGACGAACUACUGCGAAAGCAUUUGCCAAGGAUGUUUUCAUUAA
rnacentral:rRNA from 1 species